rnacentral:rRNA from 1 species
UGGGGAAUCUUGCGCAAUGGGCGAAAGCCUGAUCCAGCCAUGCCGCGUGUGUGAAGAAGGUCUUCGGAUUGUAAAGCACUUUAAGUUGGGAGGAAGGGCCAUUACCUAAUACGUGAUGGUUUUGACGUUACCGACAGAAUAAGCACCGGCUAACUCUGUGCCAGCAGCCGCGGUAAUACAGAGGGUGCAAGCGUUAAUCGGAAUUACUGGGCGUAAAGCGCGCGUAGGUGGUUUGUUAAGUUGGAUGUGAAAUCCCCGGGCUCAACCUGGGAACUGCAUUCAAAACUGACUGACUAGAGUAUGGUAGAGGGUGGUGGAAUUUCCUGUGUAGCGGUGAAAUGCGUAGAUAUAGGAAGGAACACCAGUGGCGAAGGCGACCACCUGGACUGAUACUGACACUGAGGUGCGAAAGCGUGGGGAGCAAACAGGAUUAGAUACCCCCGUAGUCCCUGAGCGGGCUGGCAAGGCGCAU